AGAGUUUGAUCCUGGCUCAGGACGAACGCUGGCGGCGUGCCUAAUACAUGCAAGUCGAGCGAGCUUGCCUAGAUGAUUUUAGUGCUUGCACUAAAUGAAACUAGAUACAAGCGAGCGGCGGACGGGUGAGUAACACGUGGGUAACCUGCCCAAGAGACUGGGAUAACACCUGGAAACGGAUGCUAAUACCGGAUAACAACACUAGACGCAUGUCUAGAGUUUGAAAGAUGGUUCUGCUAUCACUCUUGGAUGGACCUGCGGUGCAUUAGCUAGUUGGUAAGGUAACGGCUUACCAAGGCAAUGAUGCAUAGCCGAGUUGAGAGACUGAUCGGCCACAUUGGGACUGAGACACGGCCCAAACUCCUACGGGAGGCAGCAGUAGGGAAUCUUCCACAAUGGACGAAAGUCUGAUGGAGCAACGCCGCGUGAGUGAAGAAGGGUUUCGGCUCGUAAAGCUCUGUUGGUAGUGAAGAAAGAUAGAGGUAGUAACUGGCCUUUAUUUGACGGUGAUUACUUAGAAAGUCACGGCUAACUACGUGCCAGCAGCCGCGGUAAUACGUAGGUGGCAAGCGUUGUCCGGAUUUAUUGGGCGUAAAGCGAGUGCAGGCGGUUCAAUAAGUCUGAUGUGAAAGCCUUCGGCUCAACCGGAGAAUUGCAUCAGAAACUGUUGAACUUGAGUGCAGAAGAGGAGAGUGGAACUCCAUGUGUAGCGGUGGAAUGCGUAGGUAUAUGGAAGAACACCAGUGGCGAAGGCGGCUCUCUGGUCUGCAACUGACGCUGAGGCUCGAAAGCAUGGGUAGCGAACAGGAUUAGAUACCCUGGUAGUCCAUGCCGUAAACGAUGAGUGCUAAGUGUUGGGAGGUUUCCGCCUCUCAGUGCUGCAGCU
rnacentral:rRNA from 1 species